GUUUCUUUUAUUCCACUCCCUUACUUGUUCUACUUGGUAAAGUUCAUGUAGUUUCAGAGCUCACCUGAGCUUCUGCUUCAGUUUGUGUAGUUUCAUUGUUCUCUGCUGCUUAGUUCGAAUCGGUUUCUCUUUAGAGGCUCUUUUCCGCUGAUGCUAGGGGUAGUAGGAUUCAAGUGCGAGAGCUAGAUUGCCAAAUUUCAGUUCUUGCUACUUUUUGGUAAAUUAAUGACUUACUCCAGUAUUUUAAAAGAUACUGCUUAGAAGGAGUACUUUUGAAUCAAUAUGUAGAGAGACACGCGUCAGAAGCUUGAUCCUGUGGUAGUAUCUUUUUGCUGUAUGUUCUGCUCGCAGAAGGUGUUUCUGUGGAGCAACAAUUUCUUCUUUGUGCGAAAAGCCAACACUUCUCAAGCUCCGAAAACCACAAUGAACGAGCUCUGGCCCAUUAAGGAAUGGCGCAGCCCAUCUUCAAAGUUCAGGCCCACAUGUAGAAUAUAAAUCAGAUCAAAACCCAAUUAUAUUACUAACAAAAUGUGAGAUGGAAAACGCUUGGUGUCAACCGGCGGAUUUUCUCUCACUCGUCCGCCGUCUUCCACGGGCGACGCGUGUCCCAGUGGGUGUGCACCGCUUUGCAUCCUGCCUUAUCUUCUCGUCCGACUGCUCCCAUCCACAUCUUUUGUUUUCUUUUGCUUCUUUCUUCCUUCCUCAGCGACCCAUCCUUCUCCAUUACGCACACAAUCAGGGACCUGCUCGGAGAUGUUGGAGACACCCACAGCCGAGCUUUUCUGAAGAGAUGCUGGAGGCACCGCCGCUUUCGUGUGCGGGUGUUCGAGGGUGGAUCUUCAAAGUUUUCUGCAACAUGGAAUUAGUGUGUCGGGACACCGAUGAGCCGCGUGCGAGGAACUUGAUCGGACGGCUCGUGCGCGAAGAUCCGACAGAUGUUGAGGUGGUGGAUGUUUACUAAACAUCUGCCGGUAGACGCAUAGCGCUCCCCAUGUGAGAUUGGUAUCUCUAAAAAAACUAACAAAAUGUUACGCUGGAAAGGUAGUUCUACAAAAAAAACUCAAAAAAAAGAUUGGUUAACAAGAACCUGGCUUGGCAUCAGUGUUUUCGUAAUUUUCUAGAAUUAUUUUAGGAUUUUAUCAAUUUUGUGUGUAUAUAAACCAAGAGUUUAAAAUAGCCAAUGGUUUUCCUUUAAUACCUAGCCAAUGGUUUUUAUCAUUGUGUCGUGUAAGUAUGCCGGAGAUUGGAACCCUUGUUAAUAGCUUUCGGUGAUUUUAUUUGGCGCACAAAUGUA